UAAGUGUAUUAUUAUUUUAUUCAGUUUUCCUAAGUAAUUGUUUUCUGUUUUUCUCCCCCAUUUUAAUUUGUAAUGCCUGAAACCAACGAAUUUUCACCUACUACUCCAAUGUAAGCCACUUAGAGAAGGGCUAAUAAAAUAAACACCGCUAAAUGGCGCAGGAUAAUGGUCACACACACCCAACUCAAGUUGAAUCUCGGUCCCUCGUCAUUUAACAUUACAGUUACUGUUGCGGGCGAAAUUCCAGCACAUACGAGCAUCCCUCCCGCCCCAGCCACGCCCCCAAGAGCCGAAGUUUUUUUCAGUUUUUAUAUUAUAUUUUGGACCGACCAUUAGACAGCCGCUCCUUUGUACACAAAAACGAAGAAAGAAAGAAAUGCAAAAGGGCAAGGGAAAGGGAGUGAGAAAGAGAACUUGCCGCAAUUAACUAACUGCCUAUGAUUGAUGACAUUUUAAAUGGGAUGGCGACUACUUCUCAUUAUUGCCAUUAUUAUAAUUCUCUUUUGCAUUCGUCAGAAGUAGGCCCAGUGCCGCAUUGGCUGAUUGGUUGGCCAUAAGGCGAACUGGGUCAAAGGUCACCGCACUCGACUAAUUGCCAUCCAAUUGGACCACAUGUCGACUGAGUUGCCGCUCAUUGGAUUCCCUCGGUUUGCAAUGGAUUGGAAUGGAUUGGAUUGGAUUGCUGGCUUGCUACACUUAAUUGUCAAGCGAAUGCAGGCGAAUGGAGUGCAAUGUUUUAAAUUAAUGCAUUAUUGCCCAUGUGCCAUCGAUUAUUUAUAUUGCUUUUAUUGCCGUUAGCCAGCAGCAUUGAGUACAUCCAUCAGUUUGUCAAUCAAUCAACUAACUGGCACAUGAAUUGAACAGGAAAUAUUCUAUACACAUUUGUGUCACAUCUCCUAAUUGGAAUUGACGUGGAAAUCGAGUGGAAAAUGAAAACUUACCAAUAGAGGACACUUGUCUCACUCGAAAGUCGCAAUGCAAAUAUUUGAG